rnacentral:rRNA from 1 species
UACCAGCACCCCGAGUGGUCGGGACGAUUAUUGGGCCUAAAGCAUCCGUAGCCGGUUUUACAAGUCCUCCGUUAAAUCCAGCUGCUUAACAGAUGGGCUGCGGAGGAUACUAUAAGACUAGGAGGCAGGAGAGGCAAGCGGUACUCAGUGGGUAGGGGUAAAAUCCGUUGAUCCAUUGAAGACCACCAGUGGCGAAGGCGGCUUGCCAGAAUGCGCCUCGGACGGUGAGGGAUGAAAGCUGGGGGAGCAAACCGG